GCUAGCACACCAACACCAUCCCCCCAGAUGCUUCAGUUGUUGGCUUCUAAUGGCUUACUAUUUCCAUUUCGAUGGAGAACUGCCAUCUCAGGAAUCACCUCACCCUGGAGUUUAUUCCCCUCACCCACAGGGUGGCUGGCAGCCAACAGCUGACUCGUACAGAGAGUGGCACAAUGAAGAUUUGAACCCACGUAUGUCUCACUGGACAUAUGCCCAGGAACUGAUUGGGAAAGCGAGGCCCAGGGGUGCGAACCAGUCCAAUAUUAGCAGCAGAGCUCUUCCCUAGACCCGUCUUGAAGCCACUGCCCCAUCAUUUCCUCCAGGUGGCUGGUGGAUACUGUUUAUCUGGUGCUUACCAUGCACUAGGUAACACUGUAAGUGAUUUUCAUUAAAUUUAAUCUCAUACAAUCUUA
rnacentral:lncRNA from 1 species